rnacentral:rRNA from 1 species
GAUGAACGCUGGCGGCGUGCCUAAUACAUGCAAGUCGAGCGAACAGACGAGGAGCUUGCUCCGCUGACGUUAGCGGCGGACGGGUGAGUAACACGUGGAUAACCUACCUAUAAGACUGGGAUAACUUCGGGAAACCGGAGCUAAUACCGGAUAAUAUAUUGAACCGCAGGGUUCAAUAGUGAAAGACGGUUUUGCUGUCACUAAUAGAUGGAUCCGCGCCGCAUUAGCUAGUUGGUAAGGUAACGGCUUACCAAGGCAACGAUGCGUAGCCGACCGGAGAGGGUGAUCGGCCACACUGGAACUGAGACACGGUCCAGACUCCUACGGGAGGCAGCAGUGGGGAAUCUUCCGCAAUGGGCGAAAGCCUGACGGAGCAACGCCGCGUGAGUGAUGAAGGUCUUCGGAUCGUAAAACUCUGUUAUUAGGGAAGAACAAAUGUGUAAGUAACUAUGCACGUCUUGACGGUACCUAAUCAGAAAGCCACGGCUAACUACGUG